rnacentral:rRNA from 1 species
UACGAAGGGGGCUAGCGUUGUUCGGAUUUACUGGGCGUAAAGCGCACGUAGGCGGAUCGUUAAGUCGGGGGUGAAAUCCUGGAGCUCAACUCCAGAACUGCCUUCGAUACUGGCGCUCUUGAGUCCGGAAGAGGUGAGUGGAACUCCUAGUGUAGAGGUGGAAUUCGUAGAUAUUAGGAAGAAUACCAGUGGCGAAGGCGGCUCACUGGUCCGGUACUGACGCUGAGGUGCGAAAGCGUGGGGAGCAAACAGG